CCUACGGGUGGCAGCAGUAGGGAAUCUUCCACAAUGGACGAAAGUCUGACGCAGCGACGCCGCGUGGGUGAAGAAGGUUUUCGGAUCGUAAAACUCUGUCGUUAGUGCAGAAAGCGCAUGACGCCAAUCGUCCAUGCUUCGACGGUACCUCCCCAGAAAGCGCCGGCUAACUACGUGCCAGCAGCCGCGGUAAUACGGAGGUCGCAAGCGUUAAGCGGAAUUACUGGGCGUAAAGGGACCGUAGGCGGUUGUUUACGUUUGGUGUGAAAGCCCUCGGCUUAACCGUGGAAGGGCAUUGGAAACUGGGAGACUUGAGUGCGGAAGAGGGGAGCGGAACUCCAGGUGUAGGAGUGAAAUGCGUAGAUAUAUGGAAGAACACCAGUGGCGAAGGCGGCCACCUGGUCUGUAACUGACGCUGAGGUGCGAAAGCGUGGGUAGCAAACAGGAUUAGAUACCCGAGUAGUC
rnacentral:rRNA from 1 species